UGCCGAGGUUUUCCUCGGUAGUUAACUGCAGCCGGUUUCCCUUUUUCUUUGGCAGUUAACUACCGAAGGAUAU
rfam:Medicago truncatula strain A17 chromosome 2, whole genome shotgun sequence.